CCUACGGGAGGCAGCAGUAAGGGAUAUUGGUCAAUGGGGGAAACCCUGAACCAGCAACGCCGCGUGAGGGAAGACGGUUUUCGGAUUGUAAACCUCUGUCCUCUGUGAAGAUGAUGACGGUAGCAGAGGAGGAAGCUCCGGCUAACUACGUGCCAGCAGCCGCGGUAAUACGUAGGGAGCGAGCGUUGUCCGGAUUUACUGGGUGUAAAGGGUGCGUAGGCGGCUUGGCAAGUCAGUAGUGAAAUCCAUGGGCUUAACCCAUGAACUGCUAUUGAAACUGUCGAGCUUGAGUGAAGUAGAGGUAGGCGGAAUUCCCGGUGUAGCGGUGAAAUGCGUAGAGAUCGGGAGGAACACCAGUGGCGAAGGCGGCCUGCUGGGCUUUAACUGACGCUGAGGCACGAAAGCGUGGGUAGCAAACAGGAUUAGAUACCCUAGUAGUC
rnacentral:rRNA from 1 species